AAAAAAAAAGUCUAUCAAUCUUACUCGCCCGGAAGAGACGGCCACGAGUUGCUCUGUCCCUCGAGGCUGGACGUGGGUGCCCCUCACCUCACUUCAGCAACCUCAGGUUGCAGCUGUGCGGCCUGAGCUGAUACCCUGGGCUUCCUUUCGCCGAGGAGAAAAACGCAUUUCCAGAGGGCUAUUCCUCUCGCCUAUUGCACCUCCUAUUUUAGCACGGCAUGAAGUGUCUUAAGGAGAUGACUGUCUCUUCGUCGCCUAGAUGUGAAGUUGGAAUGCUCGAUGGAUGGCAGUAGUGCUGCAGGUCUCCCACCAGCCUUCCCCAGACAGAGAUGUGGUUCUGCUCCUGUAAUGCUGGUCCCAGAUGUGGAUUCAAAGCCAAUUCAGCUGCUCUUCUGUGAGUCAGACGAAAGUACUGGGAGUCCAGGGAACCCAUGAAUAAGGUUGUUCUGUGGAGCCAGCCAGCCAUCCUCUGCCCCCUGUGAUGGGCAGCUUGUCUGUGUAAAAGCAGUGACUGAAACCCAUGUGCACAUUUUGCUACCAGCCUAAGGAGUCAGCAGUGUCCAGAGAGCUGUUCUGAGGAUUUCUCUGUGUAUUGCAGGUAGAAAAUAAUCCCACCCCUGAAAAGAACAGUUUUAAGUAGCCCAAGAUGUUGAUUUGCUCAUUUAGUUUUGGCUGCUACACGGUGUCUUACUUACCCAUUUGUCUUUGUUUUGACAGCCUGACAUGGCCUUUGUUGAGACCCAAAAUAGGGACAGCAACCCUGGCUUUGCCAUAUUCUAUCACAGCGUUUCAAUGAUUCCCAGUCCUUAUCUAAGAGCAUCUGAUUAACCUCAGUGACGGGUCAGACUAGAUUUGUG
rnacentral:lncRNA from 1 species